rnacentral:rRNA from 1 species
AGUGGCGAAAGGGGCAGUAAUGUAUGGGUAAUCUACCCUGGGGACCGGGAUAGCCAUUCUAACGAGUGGGUAAUACCGGGCAAUGUAGCGAGGAGGCAUCUUUUUGCUACCAGAUGAAUUUCGCCCUGGGAGGAGCUCAUAUUGUAUUAGCUAGUUGGUGAGGUAAUGGCUCACCAAGGCAAAGAUGCAUAGCGGGUGUGAGAGCACGACCCGCGCCACUGGCACUGAGACACUGGCCAGACACCUACGGGUGGCUGCAGUCGAGGAUCUUUGGCAAUGGGCGCAAGCCUGACCAAGCGACGCCGCGUGUGCGAUGAAGGCCUUCGGGUUGUAAAGCACUGUCGAGGGGGAUGAAGCCGAAAGGUUGACAGAUCCCUGGAGGAAGCACGGGCUAAGUUCGUGCCAGCAGCCGCGGUAAGACGAACCGUGCGAACGUUGUUCGGAAUCACUGGGCUUAAAGGGCGCGUAGGCGGCAUAUCAAGUCAGGGGUGAAAUCCGGCAGCUCAACUGUCGAAGUGCCUUUGAUACUGAUGUGCUCGAGGGAGGUAGGGGUGUGUGGAACUUCUGGUGGAGCGGUGAAAUGCGUUGAUAUCAGAAGGAACGCCGGUGGCGAAAGCGACGCACUGGACCUCUUCUGACGCUGAGGCGCGAAAGCUAGGGGAGCAAACGGGAUUAGAUACCCCGGUAGUCCUAGCCCUAAACGAUGGGUACUAGA